GAUGAACGCUGGCGGCGUGCUUAACACAUGCAAGUCGAACGGUGAAGGCGGAGCUUGCUCUGCUGGAUCAGUGGCGAACGGGUGAGUAACACGUGAGCAAUCUGCCCCUGACUCUGGGAUAAGCGCUGGAAACAGCGUCUAAUACUGGAUACGAGCUGCGAAGGCAUCUUCAGCAGCUGGAAAGAAUUUCGGUCAGGGAUGAGCUCGCGGCCUAUCAGCUUGUUGGUGAGGUAAUGGCUCACCAAGGCGUCGACGGGUAGCCGGCCUGAGAGGGUGACCGGCCACACUGGGACUGAGACACGGCCCAGACUCCUACGGGAGGCAGCAGUGGGGAAUAUUGCACAAUGGGCGAAAGCCUGAUGCAGCAACGCCGCGUGAGGGACGACGGCCUUCGGGUUGCAAACCUCUUUUAGCAGGGAAGAAGCGAAAGUGACGGUACCUGCAGAAAAAGCGCCGGCUAACUACGUG
rnacentral:rRNA from 1 species